rnacentral:rRNA from 1 species
UGGGGAAUUUUGGACAAUGGGCGAAAGCCUGAUCCAGCAAUGCCGCGUGUGUGAAGAAGGCCUUCGGGUUGUAAAGCACUUUUGUCCGGAAAGAAAUCCUUGGCUCUAAUACAGUCGGGGGAUGACGGUACCGGAAGAAUAAGCACCGGCUAACUACGUGCCAGCAGCCGCGGUAAUACGUAGGGUGCAAGCGUUAAUCGGAAUUACUGGGCGUAAAGCGUGCGCAGGCGGUUUGCUAAGACCGAUGUGAAAUCCCCGGGCUCAACCUGGGAACUGCGUUGGUGACUGGCAGGCUAGAGUAUGGCAGAGGGGGGUAGAAUUCCACGUGUAGCAGUGAAAUGCGUAGAGAUGUGGAGGAAUACCGAUGGCGAAGGCAGCCCCCUGGGCCAAUACUGACGCUCAUGCACGAAAGCGUGGGGAGCAAACAGGAUUAGAUACCCUGGUAGUCCACGCCCUAAACGAUGUCAACUAGUUGUUGGGGAUUCAUUUCCUUAGUAACGUAGCUAACGCGUGAAGUUGACCGCCUGGGGAGUACGGCCGCAAGAUUAAAACUUAAAUGAAUUGACGGGGUCAUAGCUGUUUCCU